rnacentral:lncRNA from 1 species
GAAAGGCUGUUUCCGAUAGACCCCCGGCUCAAGGCACGAGAUACCACACAAACACAUAGUAAAGCACAGAAGUAGAUUACAUAACAUAAAUACGGCACCCAUAAGUAAUAUAAAACAGAGGAAAGCAGAGGAAAGCACACAGAUUCGUAAUAAAACAUGAAACACGAAACACGGAAUCAUAACAGGAAUAAAACCCCCACC